rnacentral:rRNA from 1 species
UACGGAGGGAGCUAGCGUUAUUCGGAAUUACUGGGCGUAAAGCGCACGUAGGCGGCUUUGUAAGUAAGAGGUGAAAGCCCAGAGCUCAACUCUGGAAUUGCCUUUUAGACUGCAUCGCUUGAAUCAUGGAGAGGUCAGUGGAAUUCCGAGUGUAGAGGUGAAAUUCGUAGAUAUUCGGAAGAACACCAGUGGCGAAGGCGGCUGACUGGACAUGUAUUGACGCUGAGGUGCGAAAGCGUGGGGAGCAAACAGGAUUGAGAAACC